UACGUAGGGGGCAAGCGUUGUCCGGAAUCAUUGGGCGUAAAGCGCGCGUAGGCGGCCCGGUAAGUCCGCUGUAAAAGUCAAAGGCUCAACCUUUGAAUGCCGGUGGAUACUGUCGGGCUAGAGUCCGGAAGAGGCGAGUGGAAUUCCUGGUGUAGCGGUGGAAUGCGCAGAUAUCAGGAGGAACACCAAUUGCGAAGGCAGCUCGCUGGGACGUUACUGACGCUGAGACGCGAAAGCGUGGGGAGCAAACAGG
rnacentral:rRNA from 1 species